rnacentral:rRNA from 1 species
UUGAACGCUGGCGGCAGGCCUAACACAUGCAAGUCGAGCGCGAAAGUUCUUCGGAAUGAGUAAAGCGGCGGACGGGUGAGUAACGCGUGGGAAUCUGCCUGGUAGUGGGGGACAACGUUCGGAAACGAACGCUAAUACCGCAUACGCCCUACGGGGGAAAGGGGGGGAUCUUCGGACCUCUCGCUAUCAGAUGAGCCCGCGUCGGAUUAGCUAGUUGGUGGGGGAAAGGCCUACCAAGGCGACGAUCCGUAACUGGUCUGAGAGGAUGAUCAGUCACGCUGAAGCUGAGAAUCGGUCCAGACUCCUACAGGAGGCAGAAGUGGGGAAUAUUGGAGAAUGGGGGAAACCCUGAUCCAGCCAUUCCGCGUGUGUGAAGACGGCCUUAGGGUUGUAAAGCACUUUCAGUGGGGAGAAAGGUUGUUUACUUAAUACGUAAGCAAAUUGAUGUUACCCACAGAAGAAGCACCGGCUAACUCCGUGCCAGCAGCCGCGGUAA